UGUUGUUGCAGGUGGUGCAGUGUGCUGGGAGGGGGGUGCUGAGCAUCAAGCUGCUUCAUUUCCAGAACAAACGAGGCCGCACGUACGAAGGUCAGUGCUGUGACCCCACGCCGCUAGACAGCGCCACGUGUCAUGACCCCUGCGACUACGUCAUGCGUCUCAUCGUUUCGGGGCUCGGAAGAGCCAACGACCAUGUUUUCCUCUUUCAUCGACCUCUAAAAUACGACAGCAACGACCUCCACUUUGAGCGGGAUGGAGGUGACCUGACCUUGACCAUUCUUUUGACCGCUGGCCUUCAGAGGGCCAUGUCAAGAUGGAUGUUUUCUUCUACGAUUACGACGACUUCGACCACACCACCGCCUUAGUGGACUGGUUCGAGACGGAGUUGGUGGGAGAAGAUGCUGGCAGCGAAGGCCAGCAGCAGGUCAUCGUCAAUGGCAACCGCCAAUCAGACAAGACGAGAUUGGAGUUCCAGUGGGCUCGUCACUGUUAUGGUGCAAAGGGCUGCCUGCCCCACCUCCGGAAUGGAAGCUGUGGCCGUGGGAGGACACAAACCCGAAACAGGACCCCUUGGAGACAGGUCACAUCUCCAACAACAGGGGUCAGCGGGUAUAUUACCAGAAAGAGUAUCGACAGGGUCGGAACAUAAAGUCUCCCUUCAAACCGUUUAGUACAGCCAAGCACAGUCCAGAAAAGAAGGGGUCCAAAGGGUCAGACAGCCCUAUCACUCCACAGAACGUAGUCCGCCAUGUGGUCGAACUCCCCAGCACGAUGACCCCAGCAGGACCGACUUCUGGCGAGCGCGAAGAUCAGAUAAGACAAAAUGUCGACAUUAGAAGCCAGAAUUUCUCGACUAGGGCACAGAAUGGAAGGGCUCAAACGCAAGCCAUUCCUAGAAGUCCUUUCGUACAAAGAUGGCGAGGGUAUCAGCAUGAAACCCCUUCGGUGCGCUCCUGGGACACGGACAGAGGCGUGAGUGAAACCGUUCUGCAGGGUCGGCCCCAGGACUUUCAGGAGACCGACAUGGUGGAAACGAGAGCCAGUGCAACACCACAGGCGGUGAGGUCGUUGCCGCUACGUCCGACGAUGUCGCCUCCCAAGUCCCUCAUGGAGAACAUUCGAGAGAGAAACAGGUGGCUGAGCCGUAAAGGCGGCAAGGGAAACGACUCACUUAUAGAUGAGGAGUUCAUUCCCUCUUACUACAAAAAACAUUCUCUCAAAGAUAAAAAAUUUAUCCCAACACUUUCUGGAAAUCCGGAAGGACGAGGCACGACCUUAAGCCAAGUGGGAGGAGUGAACACAACCCCCGAACCAGUUUUGAAAGUGGAAAAUGAGAGGAAAAAUGACUUGAACAACAAAGAUGGCAGAGAAGGUAUCCUGAACUCGACUUCAGCAAGCAUGACAGUCACUUCGUUACACAAUUACACAGUGUCAAAUGCGACCGGCACAGUCCAAUACAGUCCAACAAAAAAUGAUGGCUUCACAAGGUCAGAGGAGAGUGAUCUGG